rnacentral:rRNA from 1 species
UACGAAGGGUGCAAACGUUGCUCGGAAUUAUUGGGCGUAAAGCGCACGUAGGCGGCUAUCUAAGUCGGAUGUGAAAUCCCUCGGCUUAACCAAGGAAGUGCAUCCGAAACUGGAUAGCUUGAGUACAGAAGAGGAUCGCGGAAUUCCCGGUGUAGAGGUGAAAUUCGUAGAUAUCGGGAGGAACACCAGUGGCGAAGGCGGCGAUCUGGGCUGAUACUGACGCUGAGGUGCGAAAGCGUGGGGAGCAAACAGG